ACUACUAGUAUUGAACCUAAAGCAAAAACAUAGUUCAAGUUUCUCUCUCUAAAUUUGGUUUAAUUCUUUCUCUCUCUCUCUCCCUCUCCAAACUUGCAUAAAUUGUUGAAUAUGUCUUGAGCACUCACCCCUCUCCUCCAAAAUGGGGUGGCUCCAAUCCCUCCUCUCUCCCUUCAAGAAGCUGUGGAUUCGUCUCAAUUCCGCUCACAAGAAGAGUAGAGGGAUAUACAUUUUGUACGAGGAUGUGAAAUCGUGCCCUUACGAAGACGUGCACGUGCUUUGGUCCAUAUUGGUGGAGUCGCAUCGGCCGCCACUGCCACUGCCAUUGCCGCCACCGCCGCCCAAGUGACUCGAGCAUCCAAAGAGAUUGAACAUAUACAUGUACAUAAUUAAGAUAGAAACUUUCCUCCCUUUUUGGGUUACGUUUUUCAAUUUUCACAUUGUGGUUUUUCAAUCUUGUUCGAGUGAGGUAAAGUUAAUAUAGUAUGCGCUUAAAUUAUUUAAGUCUAUAGAGUUACAUUUCCCAUGAGUUAUGUACUCACUUUUAUAUUACUACUAAAAAACGUACAUUUUCUAAUAAAUAUUAUAUAUACCGUAUCA